GGGGUUGUACUGGUUUCGACGGGGGUUUUGAAUUUGUGGUAGCCAUUCGCAGACUAGGACUGCGUCAUCAACUUAGAAAUAAAAUUAAACGCAGACGAUAAUUUAGCGUACGCUGCCUAGUGGCAGCUGUCGACCUUAAGCAACUCGCAGCUUAAGACCUCGGCAUCAAAUUAGCGAGGCACUUUAUCUUCAAAGCUUUGAGAGGAUAAAAGAUUUAUGAAGCUACUGAAAUCGGAAGCCUGUCUGUCGGCGUCCGAUGGAGGGAACAGCAUGUUUGGGCAUGCAUAAAAGACCGACUGUAAUGGGAGAAACUGCAAUGGAUGGGCUUUCGGACAGGGGUUCAACUCCCCUCAGCUCCAUUA
rnacentral:tmRNA from 1 species